rnacentral:misc_RNA from 1 species
ACCAUCUUUAAACAUAUUAUAGGCUUCUCGCAUGACUGGCCGUGGAUCUCUACCAACCUCAAGAUAUCUUUUUCUUGCUUCAUGAACUCCAUACAAUUGAGCUUCACAAAGAAAACACCAUAUUGACUCCUCUGUAUCAUUUGGGUUUUGGGCAACGUCUAUACGGAAUUGAUGUGCACCUUCCUCAUACCUAUCGAGAUAAUACAGAGACAACCCCCUUUGCCAAAGAUCUGAUGAAGUAAAAGAUGUGAGGUGAGUUCACGAUAAUAUUGAGUUGAAACUGGUACUCAUUUCAGAAGCUCACAUGCUUUCUGGCGAGGAUCAAGCUGAAUUGCCUUGUCAAACUCCACCAAAGACCCUGACCUGUCUAAAAAGAUGCAUUCCUUUUCGAAUUGCCAUCACAGCGGAGUUACCACUUGUUAGGGCAUCCCACACCCUACAAACAAAUACUCUUCUACUCAAGGUUGGUACUGGGUUCUGAUAAG